AGCGAACGCUGGCGGCAGGCCUAACACAUGCAAGUCGAACGGACCCUUCGGGGUUAGUGGCGGACGGGUGAGUAACACGUGGGAACGUGCCUUUAGGUUCGGAAUAGCUCCUGGAAACGGGUGGCAAUGCCGAAUGUGCCCUUCGGGGGAAAGAUUUAUCGCCUUUAGAGCGGCCCGCGUCUGAUUAGCUAGUUGGUGAGGUAAUGGCUCACCAAGGCGACGAUCAGUAGCUGGUCUGAGAGGAUGACCAGCCACAUUGGGACUGAGACACGGCCCAAACUCCUACGGGAGGCAGCAGUGGGGAAUCUUGCGCAAUGGGAGAAAGCCUGACGCAGCCAUGCCGCGUGGAUGAUGAAGGUCUUAGGAUUGUAAAAUCCUUUCACCGGUGAAGAUAAUGACUGUAGCCGGAGAAGAAGCCCCGGCUAACUUCGUGCCAGCCGCCGCGGUAA
rnacentral:rRNA from 1 species